AACAACUAGCUGUGCCCGGCCACGCGUUGCUGUGGCGUAUGGGAAUUCUUUGUUAGAUGGUCUGCAGUAAGGCAAAUAUGAACAAGGGAAGACCAGAAUGAGGGCCUUCAAAGCACCGAUUAAUAUACUGGAGCAGAAAGUCCCAGUUUCCAUAAGGCAAAUGAAUACAAAACUGCACAUUCUAGAAGAGAAAUUCAUCCAAAGAUGUUGCAAAUGGAUAAAAAACAGUAACCAAAAGAAAUCACCUACCUGUUUUAUAAAUGAAAUUAUUAGUGUGAUUAUUUU
rnacentral:lncRNA from 1 species